UCAUCGGCUCUUUUAAGAACCAUUCAAUACUUUAUAAAAAGAGUCGU
rfam:Anopheles darlingi Cont543, whole genome shotgun sequence.